AAGAAGCUAUAUCGCCAUGAGUUCAUCGCCUGAGGACGAAACAUCUGAUUUAGAUGAAUCUAGCAAUGUAAGGCUGUAUUUUUGGAUAUUAAUGUAAAAAAGAAAAGUAUCCAAAUUGCUGUAAAAUUCGGUUCAAUUAAUAAUUAUGUAACACUACUAAAACACUGUUUACACGUAUGGUCGCUCAACCGAGGAUAUCAAACUGUGGCUGUAAAUCGCAAUGUAUGGUCAAGUUAAAGACCUCUACGAAUGGAAAAGUGACUGGCUGUCAUUGCAGAGGAAGCGCAUGCACUUGUGGUGCGAGGAGUAAUGUAAAAAUAUAUAAAAGGUAUGUACUGUAUUUGAGUUGAAAUAUCAAUGAGUUUCUCUGAUUUUGAAUAUUUGUAUUUGAUUUGAUCUUGAUAUUCAGAGCAAGCUGCAUAUUUAUACAGUGAUGAAUGCAUACGUUAUAUCAUGUAUGAUGCUUUAAUCUUUAUGAAUAAACAAUGAUUCAAAGGGGUCGUACCAUACCAAGGUCAAGAAAUAUUGGUACAGAAUUUUUGUAUGUGUGAACUCAAGUGCCUUUAUAUAAUAUAUCGUAACUGUUAGUUGUCUUUGUUACUUAGGAGAUAAUUGAUGGUUUGGAUAACCAGAUUCUUGUAAAAGUAGCAAAGGAGGGUUUUAAGUCCAGAGCAUUAGUUUUAAAAGAUUUGGUGGAGCAGCUACAGCAUGAUUCAGUGUAAUAAUUUGAGGAGUCAAAUACACCAUUCUGUGUAUGUGGAUAUUGCAGAGAUGCCAACAGACAGAAAGAGGGUGUGCUAUAAAGAAAUACAUUGUUUCAGAGUGGAACACUUGCACAUUCCAAAACAUUUGCUUGGACGCAGAUAAAUUGGCCACCUCCAUAAAGUUUUGGCAGAUACCUAUGUGUUUACACAAACAUAUGACAAUAGAGUGAUGAGGCAUGCAGCAUAUCGACAGUGUGUCAGUACAUACAUAGCCAUGCAUGCCGUGUGUGGAAAAUUCGAAAAACAUCCUUCACCUGAUGGACAUCAUACCAGAUAUAGAGAUAUGCCUUGACCUAGAGGGUCAAGGGGGUGGGCAGUCAGGGUUUUAUGUAGAACAAUAU